ensembl:ncRNA F41E7.16 ncRNA
ACAACAGUAUGUAAAAUUAAUGGUAGGAUAAUCGAAUGUUUUGUGAGCUCUAAACCCUACGUUAAACUAAAUUCUCCUCCUAUCCAAUACAUUCGGUGCAUCA